CCCUUGAACUUAGUUGCCAGCAUUCAGUUGGGCACUCUAAGUUGACUGCCGGUGACAAACCGGAGGAAGGUGGGGAUGACGUCAAAUCAUCAUGCCCCUUAUGGCCUGGGCUACACACGUACUACAAUGGCCGGUACAACGGGAGGCGAAGUCGCGAGAUGGAGCGAAUCCUUAGAAGCCGGUCUCAGUUCGGAUUGCAGGCUGCAACUCGCCUGCAUGAAGUCGGAAUUGCUAGUAAUCGCGGAUCAGCAUGCCGCGGUGAAUACGUUCCCGGGUCUUGUACACACCGCCCGUCACACCACGAGAGUUUACAACACCCGAAGUCGGUGGGGUAACCGCAAGGAGCCAGCCGCCGAAGGUGGGGUAGAUGAUUGGGGUGAAGUCGUAACAAGGUAGCCGUAUCGGAAGGUGCGGCUGGAUCACCUCCUUUCUAUGGAG
rnacentral:rRNA from 1 species